CUUCUGGCUUUUUCUGAGAUGUUUGUUGGAGAGAAGAGACACAGAUUUUCCUAUACAGGCUGGCCUCAAACUGUAGUCCUCAAAUCUCAGCCUCCUG